CUAAACAUCAACUUCAUACCGAUACCAGGAAGUCUGAAACAGGACUAGAUUAGCUGUCUGAAUUGGAUAACUUUGGAAUAUUUUAAUUACCUGCCCCAGGGAAAAAAAAAAAACAAAGGGCAACUUUGGGAAUCAAUCAGUGCCAACCGAAAGUGAAAGCUUAUCAAAUUUCUUUACCUAUUCAUUUAGAGAGAGAUUCAUGAAUGCAUAUAAACAACUGCAGAUAUAUCGUAGUUUAAGCACCUUCACCUCCGUCAAUAGAACAGUAGCUCAACAAGAGAGACAGGACUAGGCUCAAGCUCAAGAUUCUUCUGUUUUGCCUCCAAUGCCUAACUCAGAAAAGCAAAAGAACAAGCCUCCUGCAGGAUACCCCACAGAGACUCUCACCACUGAGAAGAAGUGUUUCCCUCAUACAAAGAAGAAAGGAGACAGAGGCUUCAUUGAAGGAU
rnacentral:misc_RNA from 1 species